rnacentral:rRNA from 1 species
GAUGAACGCUGGCGGCGUGCCUAAUACAUGCAAGUCGAGCGAACAGACGAGGAGCUUUCUCCUUUGACGUUAGCGGCGGACGGGUGAGUAACACGUGGGUAACCUACCUAUAAGACUGGGAUAACUUCGUGAAACCGGAGCUAAUACCGGAUAAUAUUUCGAACCGCAUGGUUCGAUAGUGAAAGAUGGCUUUGCUAUCACUUAUAGAUGGACCUGCGCCGUAUUAGCUAGUUGGUAAGGUAACGGCUUACCAAGGCAACGAUACGUAGCCGACCUGAGAGGGUGAUCGGCCACACUGGAACUGAGACACGGUCCAGACUCCUACGGGAGGCAGCAGUAGGGAAUCUUCCGCAAUGGGCGAAAGCCUGACGGAGCAACGCCGCGUGAGGGAUGAAGGUCUUCGGAUCGUAAAACUCUGUUAUUAGGGACGAACAAACGUGUAAGUAAAUGUGCACGUCUUGACGGUACCUAAUCAGAAAGCAACGGCUAACUACGUG